rnacentral:lncRNA from 1 species
GAUUGACAGAGGGAAAAAUGCCCCAGGGAUGUCGAGAGAAGGCGAAAUAAUUGUGUGAAAAUUUGUUCUUUCGGUUGUUAAGUGUUAAAUGAAGACUUAACAGGAUUGAGGCUCGGUGUGUUGGAUCGGGGCGGGGGUGUGUGGUUGUUUCGAGACGUGCGGGUGAGUGUUGUUGGUAGAUUCGGCUAGGUUCGUAAAUGUGCUAUAUGCUAAAUUGUUAGCUGACUAGCAUUGACUGUGCAGGAGCAGAGGAAGACUGGAGUCAGGAUUCACGUGCGAGGUCGGGUGUUAAUUUCAAGUUCCUGAGUGAGUAUCAGACUGAUUAUUGUUACCUCAGGCAUGUUGUGAGUGAGUACGUGUAUGUGAAGUUUUGUUUUUUUGUGCUGUCAGUGUACUUCGGAUACUGGCCACUCGUGCUGCGACAUUAGAGGUGCUCCGGACUUGCCGCGCCAAUGACUUCGGCAUGCGGACCGACUUUCGCUUUCUUCCAUUCUGUGCUUCGGUGAUGGUUGUAACAACACACAAAAUUUGCAAGGAACCGUGAGUACAAACGACUUGGAAAUCACACCCACACAAGAGCUCCAUCAGCGCGCCAACGUACGUGGUACCACAGACUGAUUUAUAAAAUCCCGGGUAUUAAGAACUAUUUUGUUUCUUUUUUUUUUAUUUCUUUAUCCUGUGAAUAAAUGUAAAGAUUUGUGAAUUUAAACGUGAAGUUCCUGUUGAUUGAUGUUGUGCACAUUUGGGGGGCUAUCUUAAGACAUGCAUGGGAGUUAACACUCACACAGACACAUCACACAAUUCCCUGGUUCAUAUUUUGUAGCAUCACCAAUUCCUCUCCCAUGCAAAAUACUGUGUGUAUGAUCCGGUAGGUAAUAGUAUUUAAAAAAAAAUAGGAAUUGAGUGAGGGGGCUACAGUUAUUUAUUGUUACUUGAC